rnacentral:rRNA from 1 species
UGAGGAAUAUUGGUCAAUGGGCGGAAGCCUGAACCAGCCAUCCCGCGUGAAGGAAGAAUGCGCUAUGCGUUGUAAACUUCUUUUCCAGGGGGAGAAUAAUCCUGUCGUGACAGGACUUGACGGUACUCUGGGAAUAAGCAUCGGCUAACUCCGUGCCAGCAGCCGCGGUAAUACGGAGGAUGCGAGCGUUAUCCGGAUUUAUUGGGUUUAAAGGGUGCGUAGGCGGAUUGAUAAGUCAGUGGUGAAAUUCUACAGCUUAACUGUAGACUUGCCGUUGAUACUGUUGGUCUUGAGUGUGGUCAAGGCAGGCGGAAUGUGUAAUGUAGCGGUGAAAUGCUUAGAUAUUACACAGAACACCGAUUGCGAAGGCAGCUUGCUGGGUCAUUACUGACGCUGAUGCACGAAAGCGUGGGGAUCAAACAGG